rnacentral:tRNA from 1 species
AGAAACUUAGGAUAAGGAGACCAAGGGCCUUCAAAGCCUUUAGUGGAGGUUAAAAUCCUCCAGUUUCUG